CCUACGGGAGGCAGCAGUGGGGAAUCUUGCGCAAUGGGCGAAAGCCUGACGCAGCAACGCCGCGUGCGGGAAGAAGGCUUUCGGGCUGUAAACCGCUUUCAGCAGGAACGAAAAUGACGGUACCUGCAGAAGAAGGAGCGGCCAACUAUGUGCCAGCAGCCGCGGUGAUACAUAGACUUCAAGCGUUGUCCGGAUUUAUUGGGCGUAAAGAGUUCGUAGGCGGUCAAGUAAGUCGGGUGUGAAAAUUCUGGGCUCAACCCAGAGACGCCACCCGAUACUGCUUAACUUGAGUUCGAUAGGGGAGUGGGGAAUUCCUAGUGUAGCGGUGAAAUGCGCAGAUAUUAGGAGGAACACCGGUGGCGAAGGCGCCACUCUGGAUCGAUACUGACGCUGAGGAACGAAAGCAUGGGUAGCAAACAGGAUUAGAUACCCUGGUAGUCCAUGCCGUAAACGGUGGGCACUAGGUGUGGGUUUCUAUUAACGAAAUCCGCGCCGUCGCUAACGCAUUAAGUGCCCCGCCUGGGGAGUACGGUCGCAGACUAAACUCAAAGGAAUUGACG
rnacentral:rRNA from 1 species